rnacentral:lncRNA from 1 species
UAGAUUCGAGGUUGCUGGGCCUAGCUAGACAUUUCAGGAUCUAGAAUGAGACAAAUCGAGGGCAGCCCUUCACAAGUAACCUGGAUAGAUGAGAGAGCGGAGGUGUUUGAACUAGUCUCGUGGCUGCACACCUUGAUGACACCAUUUUCGACCUUGCUGUGUACUUUACAGAUAGUUUUCCUUGAAACACAAUUUUGUUGAAGGUAUAUGUUAUCUAUGGGAUUUCUGAUCUUAUUUGAUCUUAGAGCUGCGUGGUUUCACAUACACUUACCGUUAUGGCAUUAGCAUUUCUUCGGUUUGGAGGUCAGCGUACUGUUUUUCAUUUGAUUAUCUUCUCAUUCUUAUAAAACAGUAUUGGCCAGCUGCCUUAGAUUUCUUCAUAGUUUGAGGUCUGUCCUUGCUCCAAGAGAUUUGCAACGGUUGUGUACCUUGUUUAAUGAUUAUUAAUAUCUCAUCCUCGACCAGUCUUCAGCAAACUAAUACUAAGCGUUUAUUUUGAUCGUGG